GGUACCUGCAGGUAAUUUUAGAAGUGGCCAGCUGGGCCAGCUGGGUUGAAGCAAAAAGGGCCGAGGCAGAGCUGCUGCCUGCUCUGCUGAUGUGGCUAGUCAUCUGAAGGUCCCUCGCCAAGAAGCAGCCUGUUUGCUGGUGUGGGAUAAGGCAACGUAUGGGUUCCUCUGAGGCUUUUCAUCUUAGGUAUUCUGUAGAAAUGUUUAGGCAAGACAUCUCAUCAGACUUUGAGCUUCUGCUUCUUUCCAGCUAGGCAGUUUUAAAGACCCCCCAUGCAGAUGCUUCAUGGAGGGUCUUUGUUGUGUUGUGGGAAGUGAGUCUUUUCUUCCAGAAGGAAUCAUCUUGAGGGAUUUCUGUUUUAGAUGUGAGCGAGUGUUUCACCUGUUGUAUUGCAGAAGAUGAGCAACACAGAGUGCAGGCUCUGGAGCCUUCUGAUGAACAUGAGGAAUGGCAUCUGAGGUGUUCUCCUGACUUUGCCUUGACUGCAUCAGAGGGCAUGGAGCCCUCCUGGACUCCAUUCUUAUCCACUGUGACAGAAUGAAAAGACCUUCCUACACUGACAUGGAAGAUCAUAUGUUGUUAUGCCAAAUCCCUCGGGAGCAUUUCUUCUGUGGCACCAAUGGAACAGGAAUGUGGAGAGAUGUCCAAACACAGAUUUUGUGCAUCAGCCCUCAUGAUACAUCAUAAAUUGACUCAUAA